rnacentral:rRNA from 1 species
ACGUAGGGAGCAAGCGUUGUCCGGAAUCAUUGGGCGUAAAGCGCGCGUAGGCGGCCUCAUAAGUCCGUUGUGAAAGUCAAAGGCUCAACCUUUGAAAGCCGAUGGAUACUGUGAGGCUAGAGUCCGGAAGAGGCGAGUGGAAUUCCUGGUGUAGCGGUGGAAUGCGCAGAUAUCGGGAAGAACACCCGUGGCGAAGGCGGCACUCUGGGACGGUACUGACGCUGAGACGCGAAAGCGUGGGGAGCGAACAGGA